rnacentral:lncRNA from 1 species
UCAGAUUCUGGUGCUGCAGAAACAACAGUUGGUCUUGCCAAGACUGUUUCCUCGUGCGUGCAACAUAUGGAACUAAGCGCCCUCAGCGCGUGCCUCACUGCUGUUGUCUGCUCAUCGCAACAGCCACCUCUCCGCCCUUUUGGCAGCUCUGCUGGUGAUGGGGCUUCUCUAAUCAUCAAAUCAGUACUGGAUAGAGCAACUGAACUGUUAGCUGAUCCUCAUUCUGCAGCCGACUACAGCAGAUCAACUCGUUCUCUUUGGCAGGCAUCAUUUGAUGCUUUCUUUGGACUUCUGACAAAAUACUGUGACAGCAAGUAUGGAAGUAUUCUGCAGAUGUUCAGCAUGCAGGGAUCCAAUUCUACGGCUAGAUCUGAAGCCUCAAAGGCAGUUAGCAGGGAGAUGCCUGUUGAACUGCUCCGUGCAAGCCUUCCACAUACCAAUGAACAGCAACGCCAGAUGCUUCUUGGCUUUGCUCGGAAAUCCAUGCCUGUAACUGGUUUUAACCAUUCCGGGACGAGCAGUGGGCAUUUUACUUCUGAAUCUGUUGCCGGUUAACGCUACUGAAGAGCCUCAAGUGGUCGUUCAUUGCGUAAACCAUAUGUGCAGCUUGUCUUCAGCUGGAGAUUAUAUUUGGAGGCACAAGAUGCGAGCUUGGGGAAGUCCCAUUGGCUCGAUGAAGCGAGCAUUCGCCAGACUUUGACCGUGUCUAGGAUCAAAAUUAAUUUAUAGAAUCGACUUUCCCCUUCAUGUGGGCUAUGAAUCUUUAAUAGAUUAUGCAUGUAUGUAUCCUGUUGUAACUCUGUGCAGUGAUGAACCAGUCACCUCUUUGGAGGAAACCUAGUUUAACCUGUAUCUCCCCCAGUGAAGAAGCUAGCGGGUAGCAAUGGCUGUACAAGUACAACUUCUAUAGCCAUUUUGUGUUUGUUCCUUGGUGGGGUUUGAUGCCAUCUGGUGAGUUGUGACAGUGUUAGAUCUCAGUUUACUUUAUUCCGAGACUUUGGUGAGAUGUUUAUGUUUCAUGGCUAAAUAUAAUCUUGCGUGCUCCAGGAUUUGUGAGUUUAUGUUUCUCUUUUCUUGGCCUAAUUUACGAGCUUGGUAUGGUUCAUGCCUUCUUUCGUUGUGUGGUAGAACGGACCUUUUGUCAGAACCCUACCAGGUAUCUGCAGACAGCCUGAAAAAAGUGACCGUGGCGGCUUCAGUUAACAAACUGCUCAGAUGCAAAGCGGCAACUUUUGUCACCAGGGACGGUCCAGAUAGAUCAACGUCACCCUACUGUCACGGUUUCUUACUGGCCUUAUACGCCGCCCGAUCUAAUCAUCAGUACGUCCGUUUCAUGUUGAAAUAUUACAUGUAUCUAGACACUUUUUAAAAAUAGAUGUAUCAAAUUUUUAUCAAAUUUGAUCCAAGAAUUAUGAAACGGAGGGAAUAGCAUAGAACUUUAGGGUCUUCUUGUUUCAAAGGACAUCUAUAGAAUUUCUUUAGGAAAUUGAAAUCAUUAGAAUUUUUCCUGUGUGACUCAACUGAUUUGGAGGAUCAAAUUUUAUUGGAAUUUUCCUCAAGUAUUCAUUUGCGCUACCUUUUGUAGAAUUUUUUUAUCCCCUCCAACCUAUUGAAAAAUAGAUCUUAUUUUACAUCUGAUUUAAUUAAAUAAACUUCGGUGCAAAUAAAUCCUGCACAAAUAAGAUGGAUAUAUGAUAUCGCAAUUCUGUUUUUUCAGACCUUGUGAAAAGAGAGGCCCUCUCUAGAGUUCUUUCUCUCUUGUUAUCCUCCAAACCCUACGAUUAAUCGUGAGGAUCGAUGCGCUAUAUCCGUUGCAACUCGGGCCGGCCUUACACCUUUCGACCUUUGUUCAUGGAAAUUUGCAUGUGCAAGUGUACGAUUAUGUUUGGUUAGACUUAACUUGUAGCUUUUUUUAACGAGAAAAUAAUGUAUAGCUAGCUUAGCCAAAGCUAAACACUUUUAGUUAACUUGUAUUCCCUCUGAUACAUAAUAAGUGUCAUUGAUUUAGUACAGCUUUUAUACUAAAUCAGCGACACUUAUUAUGAAUCGGAGUAGUUUUUAUAUUUGGUUUAGCCAAAGCCGGUCACCUUUGGCUUACUUUUAAUAAGUGUCGUUGAUUGUGGUUUUUUUUGUGGCAACUUCAAAUUGCAAAUUCCAAUUUCUUGAAAGUGCGGCGAUUGCUGAUGUUAUGACUCUUUGAGAUUGUUUGGUUUUGGCAGAGUCAAUUGGUUGCAACCGUGUAAUGAUUUACUCCCUCCGUCCUAUACUAAGUGACGAAAUAUUACAUGUACCUAGACAUUUUUUGUGUAUAGAUACAUCCAUAUUUUAGCAAAUUUAAGACAUUUAAUAUGAAACGGAGGGAGUAUUCUAGUUGUGUGGAAAUCAUCAAUGUGAUGAAAGAUGACGGUUAUACUUAUGGACCUGCGGCAGUGAUUUAUGAAGAUUGUCUUUUUCUUAGAGUUUCCAGUAUGUAAUUUUUGAACAUUUUCCUAGGGAGGCUAUUUUGCUAGUAGAGCAGAGGGAGGGGCCCAGAAUUGUAUCCGGCAGGAUGAGCCUCCUGAUUUUCACCUACUCCCUCCUCCGAUUCUAAAUUGUUGUCGAAAUCUAGACGUUUUUUAAAAACAGAUACAUCCAUAUUUGGGUAAAUUUGAUUCUAAAAUUUAGGAUAAGAGGAAGUAACAUUUAUAAAACGGAGUGAGUAACUACUCCCUCCGAUUCUAAAUUCUUGUCUCAAAUUUGCCCAAAUAUGGAUGCAUCUAUUCAUAAAAAGUGUCUAGAUACAUGUAAUAUUCCGACAACAAUUUAAAAUCAGAGGUAGUAUUUUUGAAACGCGAUAAAAUCCUCCAGAUGGCUUUCCUAAAAAAACAGUGAGGGCUUGUUUGGCACUAGUGUUUUUUUUGGUGUUUUCUAAGAUAUUAUCCAUUUCAAAUUAAAAAACACUAAAAACCCAAAUGAUUGAUUGGUAGAAAGGGACAAAGAAAGAGCUACACGCCCGAGAACGUAGUAUCCUAAAAGCCAUUUAUUUUUGUUCUCAGGCACCGUUGGCCGUUGGCCAAGAACAAAAAGAAGACCCACAUGACAGUGACACGCAUGUUCCGAGUCCCAACAACCUGCCACCGGAUGCGUGAAACGGAACGCAGCAGCGCAGUUACAUGCAUGCUUCCGACCCAACAUUGCAAUUUUGCAAACCAUCACCGGUUCGCUUUCACGGAGUCCCUGCCUCUCUCAGGGCUCAGCUACCAAUUGUCCAAUUCACAUCCGUUUCCAUCGUCGAGUCUUUCGCUUCACCCCAUCGUCUCGUCGGGGCAGGUGCACCCACCGCUGUACAACGAGGGGCAGCUUGUUGAAGAGCCAUGGAGCAGCAGAGUCAGGUGAUCGCUUUCCUGCAGCGUCAUGACGAACCUGGCCUAAAGUCAAAACCUGACCCCUAUCAGCCCAAGGUAAACCAGUUAUUUAUUUUUCCGUUGAGAACGGCACGGUGCAUCCGUCUCUCCCUUUCGUGUUCACUCUACAAGCCAAGGAGGCAGCCAGCCAUCCUUCUUGUUGGGAGUUGGGACACUCCGUAAGCCAUCUUGACAGCUGCAAUCAGUCAGAGUGAGUCACUGAAACGACGUUUUCUUUACCAGCAAAACACUCAUGCGCUUCUACGGAAAUUAGACUGUUUGCUGUAUAGACAAAAUAGACUAAAAUUAUAUAUUACCGACACUUGCUCCUAAUUUUAUGUUAGCUUUUGGUUGUAAACAUCGUUACCAUCUUUGUCUAUUACAAUAAAUUUAUAGACUUAUUGUUUAAAUUAAUGAGAUGAGGUUUUUUUAAUAGUAUAAAGAGAUGAUGAGAUGAUGGACCGCCGUUGACAAUUAGCUCUUUUAUAAGAGUAAAGACAACGUACUACUACUCCAUACACACGAUUCAUGUUUCAUCAUUCAUCUACCAUGCACCGUCAAGACAAAGUUCGUCUGCGAAAUAUAGCAACCAAAUAGUCUGAUGAUCUCAGUCAUAUGAUCUCAGUCAUAUAUUACUACAACUGAUUCUGUCACUUCUAUUUCUCUACGGGCAGACCAAAUUUGAUCCUGAAAUUAUUCACAUGAUAAAUGAAUAAUAUGUCUAUGUUGUCAUUUUUUUUUCUCUUCAGAUUUUCCAUGACUUGUCAAAUUCAUCUAAUUCCAGCCAGAUCGCAUGGAUCUUCAACUGAAGGUGGAGAUUGCAUGCUAGCUAAUUCCAUGUGCUUUCCGUCGUUUACCAUGUGUAGCUCUGAUAUAAGGGUGAAGCUGCACCUAGCGGGAGUGCAUGAGCAUCGGGUUCAAACUCAACCAAAGGUAGUCAAAAUCACAAAACUCUGUUGUAAUUUAUCAGUUUCAGUAAUAUAAAAAUUGGAGCUGGGCCCUCAUGCCUUCAAAGAAACAAUUGGUUUAAUAUACAACAGUCAGAAAAGCUCCAUUCUAACGAAACAAUGAUCGGUUAAAAAAAAACGAAACAAUGUUGGCCGGUGCGUGUGACCACGUCCUAAGACACGCGCAUUUUUUUCUCAUAUGCUUAGCAAGUUAGCAAGACCCUUUCUACCACCGAAUUAGCCUUUCCUUCCUUUGGAUUCUUCAAAAACUUACAAGUCCAUGUUAGGCUCGUGAGGGCGUGAGGCUAGAAAAUAUCAUAAUCGCCUGUCCAGACAGCCAGUUGUUAACAGAGAGACGAGAUUAGCGUGACAAAUGAUCACACGAGACGCAAAGUAAAGGCUCAUCAACACACAAAUGAACGAUAUACAGAUGGUAGAGUAGCACACAAGCCAAACCAGGCCAAAAAGCCUUCUCCAUCUGCUUAUCUUAACACUAUAUUAUUUAUUUUUUCUUUUUUUGUCACUGAGCAAUUUAUUCACACCAGCACGCCAUCUCAAUGGAGUACUAUAUUUUCGAUUUUCAAAUUAAAAGCUCGAACUAUCAUUUUCAGCUUAUCCUUUUUUAUUUAUGUUUCGGCGUCAUAUUCCGGUCGCUGUUUAAUUCUUUUUUGUUUUAAGUCCAAAUACAGAAGGAAGGAAAGGGAAGUAAGCAAGACUGAGGGGGAGCUUCCCUUCUCUGUCUCUCUUUCCCAGCUCCCUCAGAUCCAAAACCCAAGCGCAUCCCCCGAAAUCCAAACCCUAGCACACUGCUUGUGCUCGCGCCGCCUGUCGAGAUGAGGGGCAUCAGGGCGGACGGCGACGUCGGUGGAGGCACCUCGUCCUCGUCCUCCACCGCAGGUGAUUCCCGUCGCUGGCUUGUACGGGUGUGUGUGUUCUGCUGGGCUGUUGUUGAGUUUGAUCUGAUUGGUUCUACUUGGGUUCGGCGGUUGAAUUUGUGCAGCGAGCGACGCACUUUCGCCGUCUGUGACGCGCACCUUUGCGUGUUCCUGCUAAAUUUCUUGUUCCUCGCUCGCGGUUUUGGUGGAUGGUUUUCACGCGGUAUCAAUGGAAAUCUGUGUUUUUUCUUCUGCAGAGAACUCGCGCUUCGAUGCGGCACAGUAUUCGUUCUUCGGCAAGGCGCCGCUGGAUGGAUUGGAGCUGGGCGGUUUGGUGGACGAUGGAGGUGUGGAGGGCUAUGGCGGCGGAUUUGGUGGGCAUGAUGAUGGGGCUUACCAGUUGUCUCCUGUGGGAGAAGAGGUGCGGCUCUUAGCGAUUUCGCAUCCACAAAGCCGCUUCCUUUUUGCUACGAAUUAUGUGCAUUCAUAAAGUUUUGAUCUUGUUGGUGCUUGCUACAUUUGAGUGUGAUGAAUCAAGUGCAUUGCAUGUUUCGUACAGUCUUGAUUUUAUCGGUGUGUUCUACUGUUGGCAUGAGUGCUCAUUUAGUGAUCUGUUCUGUAGUAGGAGUAAUAUCUUGGGAUUUUGAGUUUUGACACACCGAUAGGUACAACGCAUCGAAGCAUCAGGGGCUGUUUGGGAUAGCACUAUUGCUUGGUAAAGUUUCGUAUUUGCUUCAAAACUAGAUAUCAAAACUUUACCAACCAAUACUUGUCUCCCAAAUAGGCCCUCAAGCAUAAGAUUGUCGGGAAAUCUAACCUAGGGCACAACCUUUUGUCCCGGAAGGAGAAAGAAGGGAGGGUGUCUGGCCAGCAUCGACAACGACCGCCGUCGGCUCGUUCUUCUCCCAAAUGUUGCCGCUACCGCAACGAGGAGGCGGCAGGGAGGUUUUGUGUGUGUUCGGGGGGGGGGGGGGGGUGCAAGGAGGCUAGGGUAGCUAUGACGUCCUAGUCCCUUUAUGUACGCCCUCAAUUUGUGGAGUUUUCGGUGCAACAGAUCUGCUCCUCUUGUUUUAAUGGGGGGUGGGGGGGGGGGGUGCAUCUGAUUUAUUAUAUCCUGAAUUGCAUCCAUAAAGGUGCAACUGUGGAGUUAGGAUUAUGUACUUAUGUUGGUUAAGAAGAUCUUGAAAUUUUGAUGUUCCUAACUGGUUAGGAUCGAACAAGAUUGAAAUAUCCAAUUAGUGUCAACUAUGAAUGUUCUUGUCAGAACGAUGCAGUAGUGAGAAUGGUAACUACUUUAUAAUUUUGUUUUCUUGUUAGCCUUCUGAUGGCUCCAUGUUUGGGAUCUGAGUUAGGCCACUCCAAUUUUGAUUAUUUUGGUUAUCCUAUUAGGCCUUUGUCAGCUGGAGAAGAGGUGAUGGAUUGUGUUGUGUCUUUGGUUAAAUAAUUUUCCUUUUUUACGUAGUCUGAUGCUAUAACAUCUGCUUUCCUGUUGUUUAGUUUUUAGCUUUCAUUGCUCUGUAGCCCAACGUUCUUCACCAUGGAAUUAGGAAUUACUAACCAAAUGUUACAACCGUAAGUUCUUGUUCUCCGAAAAAUGUAAAAUCACGAACCUAGACCUUUGAGGGAUGUUAGUACUAAAUCGUUCUCUUCUGCGCUAUGCCCCACCCUAUACACAAGCACCCUACUCGCUGUUGUGGUGUUGCCAUCAAGACUAGGAUUAGAGUACCCACAUCCAUCUAUUGACCAGAUCUGACCAGCAGGUGCAAUGUAAUGUGAAUGUAUUAUGUGACUAUCAGUGACACCUCACAGUAUUUGAAGUUGCAAGUGCGAGCUUAUUUUACUUCACUAUAUUUAUUUUAGUUAGUGUGUAUAAUUGUGUUAGCCUACCUAUAUCUACUAUACCUGAAUGGAUAAUCUGUAGCUUCUAUCCUUGUCUCGAGAACUUGUCGUGUAGCUGCUAUAUUUGUCUGGAGAACUUGACGAGCUUCUAUCUUUUCUCUCAUUGCAGUUUCAUCACCCCAAUAUAGCUUUUGUAACCAUCAAACCUUCAUAAUUACUUUCUUGAAUGCUUUUCCACCACUUUCAUAUUCAAUGUUGCCAAAUUAUUUGAGAAUUACUUACUCUGCAAGUCUCUCUUCCUGCCUAGUUUGCAACUCUGACCAAUUUUCUUUCAGUGUUGCCUUGUUAUUGUUGAUCCUGUAGUCAUGUUUGUUUUAUAUUUCAGGAUGAACAUAAGAACAUUUGACUUAUACUCUUAUAUUUCUGCAGAUUGAUUGUAUGAGUAACUUGUCUGAAAUUGAUGAUCUUGCAAGCACUUUUGCAAAGGUUAGCAACUUCUUUCACUAACUUGACUACUUCCUCCGUCCAACAAAAGAUGUCUCAAGUUUGUCAAAAUUUGGAUGUAUCUAGACAUGACUUAGUGAUGCAUUUAAAUUUAGUCAAAGUUGAGACAUCCUUUGUUGGACGGAGGAAGUACUUGAAUUGGUGUCUUAUAUUUCAAAUGUUUCAUCACUUGGUUUCAUGCUAUCUAAUUAUCUACCGUAGUCUUAAAAAUGAUUUAGUAUGUCCAAGGUGGCCAAAAUGAUAUUCCGAGUUAUUUUACUGAACUGUUUCCUGAUUCUUGUUAACAUAUGAUAUAGUCAACUAAUAUGUCUUGAACAUGAUGACCUAUCACUGUGUCUAAUUUUGAACCCCCAAAAUAGUUUUUUUGAAGAUUGUUGGAGUACUCUGUUCCAAUAUAUUAAGGGGCGCUCCUCUCCUUUACAGUUUUGGCCAUUCACAUAAAAGUGCAUAAUGUUAGAGUUGUAGUUGUAUAGCCAUGUUAUAUCCCCAUUGUAUAAGGGGUUUUCUGCAUAUUUGCCACACCUGUACCUGUAUAUAUACUGGUCUUUGGCCUCCUGGAAACACAAGUUGCAUAUUUCCUAACAUGGUAUCAGAGCCUAGGAUUUGCUUUUCCACCGCACGCGCAACUCGUGCAAAUUGAAUCGAUUUCUGUAAUCUGAGAUCGAUUCCUCUCUCUCCCAGUUAAUCCCGUUGAUUCAGAUCGAUUCUCCAUCGAUCUGAUCGAUUCCGCUGCAGCUCUGCUCUCUCCCCUGCCCGCGCGAGGCCGCUGCAGCUCUCCCUCCCCUGCCCGUCCCCGCGUGGCCGCGAUCUGAUCGAUUCUCUCGUUUCCGCCGGCUGCCGCUGGUUGCAGCCCGUCUCCGCCGGGCGCCGCCUGCUGCUGCACGGGUCUUCGUCAGCCGCUGCUGCCUCGCGGGAUCUCCGCCGGCCGCCGCCGCCUCACGGCUUCUCCCCGGCCGCUGGCCCUUUGAUCGGGUGAGUCCUCUGUUCCGCUGCUCUGUUUCUUCGAACAGCAGCGUAGCAGUUUAAAAGAAGAAGAAGAAGAAGAAGAAGAAGAAGAAGAAGAAGAAGAAGAGAGAAACAGGCACAAUGGCUACGUUGCUAUACCUCGAUGUCCGGUGAUUUUUGAUUUUUGAUGGGAUCAGCUACACGGACUUCGUUGCCCACAUGCGCAUCCACACGCGCGGUCUUGGACUUUGGGGUGCUCUUUCCGGCGAGGUGCCGCAUCCACCAUCUCCCGUUCAACCAGUCGAGCCUUCUCCGCUGGUCCCUCCGACUGUUGAUCCGACGGCUUCCCAGGAUAUUGUUGCUGCUGCCAAGAAGGCCGACGAUGCUGCUGUUGUUGCCUAUGAGCAACGGCUCUCCAACUACAAGCUUGCACUUGAUGAUUUUCGUGUUGCGCUUGCUGCCUACACACACUGGAUGGAUGCAGAUGCUCGUGCCUCGGCUUUUCUUGUUUCCAGUGUUCUGCCCCAGUUCUCCUCCGAGAUUGUCGGCUUCUCCUCGGCAUUUCAAAUGUGGACUCACCUGAGCCAGCGUUAUCAGCCCUCUGGUGACGCUCUGUACCUCUCCGUGGUCCGUCAGGAGCACGAACUUCGACAGGGUGAUGCUACCAUCGAUGAAUUCUAUUCUCGGAGCUCAACUAUUUGGAGACUGCUUGAUUCUCUUCGCUCCACUGGUUGUGGCACUUGUGCGUGCUGUCAGGCUCCGUAAGGAGUUCGAGCCGCGGCGUGCUCAGCUCUUUGCACGGGUCCCUCGUGUCACUCUACUGGAGGCACUCACCGAGCUUCGUGCCGAGGACUCGUCUGCGUGGUGCUGGUUUAUUGGAGAUCCCCACCGUCCUCGCUGCUUGACCACCUGCUACACCUUCUGCAUAUUUGCCACACCUGUACCUGUAUAUAUACUGGCCUUUGGCCUCCUGGAAAUACAAGUUGCAUAUUUCCUAACACAUAAAUCACUAUGUUCUCAGUUUUAUUUGGUCACAUGGGUUCAAUAUAUGGCAUGACGCCUGGAAUUACAUUUUUAACAUACUAAGCACUUGAGUUUAAAUAUGCUAAUAUUUUGAACAUAAAUUCAGUCGUAUAGUACUCUAGGGAUCUCUAGCCCUGCGUCACUAACUGUCCGGUGUCCUUUUUAUUUUCUUUUUUAUUUACUACCAUGGAAUGCAUACUGACAAAAUUCCUUUUCUUCAGUUGAACCGAACUAUUAGCGGAACAAGGAAUCCUGGUGUUAUUGGUGAUAGACGAUCAAUUUCCAGGGAAAGUAAGUAACAUUUCUUCUGCCAGUUACUACUGAAGCUAAACACUAGAAGAGCUUAUCUAUGUCACAUGGAGUCUAAAACAUAAGUAAACAUAACAUUGUACCCCAAUAACCAUAUUUAGACAUGUUUAAUAGGAAAGAAUAACAAUCAAGUCUAAAAUGUUGUCCAUAUAAGUACAUGAGAAUUAUCAAUUUUUUGUCCUUAAACGUGCCUGUGUUCCUGAGCAAAAUACCAUGUUUCUUCAGGUUCAUUGACUAAUGACUGGGUUCCAGAAGCAGACUUCCCCAAUUGGGUAGAUCUGGAUAUACUCAACAACGAUGAAUUUCAGGACAGGAAACAACUAUGUGCUCAGCCACAGUAUUUACCUCAGUUUGGAGAGUCGAAACCAUUGAGCAGAACAUCUUCCUAUCCCCUGGAACCACUACAGCACCGCUCCAGUGAACCUAUCCUUGGACAUAUAUCUCCUUCAUUUACAUCCUAUCCCCCGCCAGGUGGUGGUGAACUAUCCUAUCCCGCACAAGGUCUUACACUCCACUCAAGCAUUCCUUCACCUGGCGCUGGUCACCAAAUGGGUUCUAAAAGUUCAUCACUUUCUGGUUCUCCAUAUAAUAUGACUAGUGUACCUCAUGGACUGCGAUAUGGACGAAGCAUGUCUUACACUGCUGCAGAUCUGUCAGCGAACAACUUCCUGCAAAACGAAUGGCCAAAUCAAGCUGGUCCCCAUACUUUUGAGCAUUUUAAUCAACGGCCCAGUUUAUUGCAGCCACAGUUAUCAUAUCCGGGGAGUUCGAUGUCUUCAUUGCUAUUUUCUCAGCAGCAGCAGAGAUCGCCACUAGUCCCGCCAUCUCAUCACAAUUACCUAAACUUGCAGCCUCAGUUCUAUCACCAUCAUUCUCCAGAAAUGAUAGGCAAGUUUGACCAUGUUCCUAAUUUACCAUCACCACGAGACAAGAGAUCAAGGUCAGGAAGAGGAAAACACAGCAUACGCUUUUCUCAACAACCUUCUGAUACAGCUGGUCAGAAUGUUGAUAAUGGAGGAAUAAAGUUCAGAUCGAAAUAUAUGUCUUCCGAAGAGAUAGAGAGUAUUUUAAGAAUGCAGCACUCCACAAGUCACAGCAGUGAUCCGUACAUUGAUGACUAUUACCACCAAGCUUGUAUAGCCAAAAGAUCUGCCAGUUCUCAGCAGAAGAUCAACUUCUCCCCCAUGUCAAUAAAAGACUUCCCAUCAAAGUCCCGGUCUGGUGGUGAUCAACAUUCAUAUCUACAGGUUGAUGCUGUUGGAAGAGUAUCGUUCUCUUCCAUACGUAGGCCUCGUCCUCUUCUCGAAGUAGAUAUUCCUGCAUCUGGUGAUCACAAGUCAUCUGCAAGGCCACUGGAGAAAGAGCCAAUGCUGGCAGCCAGAAUUACUGUUGAAGAUGGUAUAUCUCUUCUUCUAAAUGUAAAUGAUAUUGACCGCUUCUUACAGUCUAGCCAGGCACAGGACAGCAGCUUACAACUGAGGCGAAGGCGGCAGGUCCUCCUUGAAGGCUUAGCUACAUCACUCGAGCUUGUGGACCCUUUUGGCCCAAACAAACCUGGCAAUUCAUCUGGAUUGGCCCCUACGGAUGACCUUAUUUUUCUCCGCAUUGUUUCUCUUCCGAAAGGACGUAAGCUUUUGGCACGUUAUCUUCGACUUCUUGUCCCUGGAAGUGAGCUGACCCGGAUAGUGUGCAUGGCUAUCUUUCGACAUCUUAGGAGCUUGUUUGGGGGUUUAGCGUCAGAUUCUGGUGCUGCAGAAACAACAGUUGGUCUUGCCAAGACUGUUUCCUCGUGCGUGCAACAUAUGGAACUAAGUGCGCUCAGCGCAUGCCUCGCUGCUGUUGUCUGCUCAUCUCAACAGCCACCUCUCCGCCCUCUUGGCAGCUCUGCUGGUGAUGGGGCAUCUCUAAUCAUCAAAUCAGUACUGGAUAGAGCAACUGAACUGUUAGCUGAUCCUCAUUCUG